rnacentral:lncRNA from 1 species
AUGGAAAGGAGGGGUCCCAUGGCCAGGUGUGGGUCCCAUGGCCAGGUGUGGGUCCCAUGGCCAGAUGUGGGUCCCAUGGCAAGGUGUGGGUCCUAUAACCAGAUGUGGGUCCUAUGGCAAAGUGUGGGUCCCAAGGCCAGGUGUGGAUCCCAUGGGAAGGUGAGGUCACCAUGGCCAGGUGUGGGUCCCAUGGCCAGGUGUGGGUCCACACAAGUGGGAGGAGGCUUUUGUGAAAGGAUGAGGCUCCCAGCAGCUGGAGAAGAGUCCUCACGGUUGGUUGAGAGCCCCCACAAUAAGAUGAGGCUCCCCAGGGUGAGAAGAGGAUCCACCGGUCCCUGCAGCAGUGUGACCAUCCCCAUGGCUCUGCGAGGGGCCCCACAGAAGGCUGGGAGUCCCCACAUCCCCACCCACCCUCACCCACGCGUGGCUUGGAUGGGGGGAACCUGAAGAUCGGAAGGGGGGGGGGGGGGGGGGGGGGGGGGGGGGGGGGGGGGGGGGGGGGGGGGGGGGGGGGGGGGGGGGGGGGGGGGGGGGGGGGGGG